GAUGAACGCUGGCGGCGUGCCUAACACAUGCAAGUCGAGCGAGGGUUUGCUCAGUAUUGAGUAUUCUAAGUCUAGAAUGUUCAAUUCUGAGCAAAACCAAGCGGCGGACGGGUGAGUAACGCGUAGGUAACCUGCCUGGUAGCGGGGGAUAACUAUUGGAAACGAUAGCUAAUACCGCAUAAGAGUAGAUGUUGCAUGACAUUUGCUUAAAAGGUGCAAUUGCAUCACUACCAGAUGGACCUGCGUUGUAUUAGCUAGUUGGUGGGGUAACGGCUCACCAAGGCGACGAUACAUAGCCGACCUGAGAGGGUGAUCGGCCACACUGGGACUGAGACACGGCCCAGACUCCUACGGGAGGCAGCAGUAGGGAAUCUUCGGCAAUGGACGGAAGUCUGACCGAGCAACGCCGCGUGAGUGAAGAAGGUUUUCGGAUCGUAAAGCUCUGUUGUAAGAGAAGAACGAGUGUGAGAGUGGAAAGUUCACACUGUGACGGUAUCUUACCAGAAAGGGACGGCUAACUACGUGCCAGCAGCCGCGGUAAUACGUAGGUCCCGAGCGUUGUCCGGAUUUAUUGGGCGUAAAGCGAGCGCAGGCGGUUAGAUAAGUCUGAAGUUAAAGGCUGUGGCUUAACCAUAGUACGCUUUGGAAACUGUUUAACUUGAGUGCAAGAGGGGAGAGUGGAAUUCCAUGUGUAGCGGUGAAAUGCGUAGAUAUAUGGAGGAACACCGGUGGCGAAAGCGGCUCUCUGGCUUGUAACUGACGCUGAGGCUCGAAAGCGUGGGGAGCAAACAGG
rnacentral:rRNA from 1 species